rnacentral:rRNA from 1 species
UUCCUGUCCAACGUUAAUCGGGGCAGGGUGAGUCGACCCCUAAGGCGAGGCCGAAAGGCGUAGUCGAUGGGAAACAGGUUAAUAUUCCUGUACUUGGUGUUACUGCGAAGGGGGGACGGAGAAGGCUAUGUUGGCCGGGCGACGGUUGUCCCGGUUUAAGCGUGUAGGCUGGUUUUCCAGGCAAAUCCGGAAAAUCAAGGCUGAGGCGUGAUGACGAGGCACUACGGUGCUGAAGCAACAAAUGCCCUGCUUCCAGGAAAAGCCUCUAAGCAUCAGGUAACAUCAAAUCGUACCCCAAACCGACACAGGUGGUCAGGUAGAGAAUACCAAGGCGCUUGAGAGAACUCGGGUGAAGGAACUAGGCAAAAUGGUGCCGUAACUUCGGGAGAAGGCAC